UACAGAGGUCUCAAGCGUUGUUCGGAUUCAUUGGGCGUAAAGGGUGCGUAGGUGGCGCCGUAAGUCAGGUGUGAAAUCUCGGGGCUUAACUCCGAAACUGCAUUUGAUACUGCGGUGCUUGAGGACUGGAGAGGAGACUGGAAUUUACGGUGUAGCAGUGAAAUGCGUAGAGAUCGUAAGGAAGACCAGUGGCGAAGGCGGGUCUCUGGACAGUUCCUGACACUGAGGCACGAAGGCCAGGGGAGCAAACAGGAUUAGAUACCCUGGUAGUCC
rnacentral:rRNA from 1 species